GGAGAACUGAGACCCGUGUCUGUUGUUAUAUCCCCUGACUCCUCGUGCGGCAGAAGAGAGACGCCGUGUCCUGUCAUUUGUGUGGUAUAUGUUAGUGUCGCCUCUCAAGUGCUUGCGCGCAUGUACCACACAUACGAAAAGUGGUGUUUUGUACACGCUCGCCUCGGGGCGCACACCUCUGGGUGUUGCGGUGUGGCAUAAUGGCGCGUGCGGCGUUACCUCGGGGUAGUGGCAUGUUUUGUUCUCGGUGAUAACAAGAGAGCCUCGCUCUCGCUAUUGGUUUGGGAUGCCGCUCAAGAUAAUGGAUAAUGGCCCUUGUGGUUGCCGCUCAAGAAAAGGUUAAUACCCCUUGGGGUUGUCGAUUGUCCCGCCUCAAAAGAAGCUUUGGGUAUCUGAAGGGGGGUAGUGCGGUGUGUCGCAUGUAUUUCCCACAGUUUGGGGGGAGAAGCAACACGCUUGGAAACCUCUCUAGUAGGAAAAGGAAAGCUUAGUCCCGCUCAAGUGCGACAACCGACGCUAUUGACCUCAA
rnacentral:misc_RNA from 1 species